GCAAGUCGAACGAGAAAGCACUUCGGUGCGAGUACAGUGGCGGACGGGUGAGUAACGCGUAGGAAUCUACCUAGUAGUGGGGGACAACUUGGGGAAACUCAAGCUAAUACCGCAUACACUCUACGGAGAAAAGCAGGGGACCUUCGGGCCUUGCGCUAUUAGAGGAGCCUGCGUUGGAUUAGCUAGUUGGUGGGGUAAAAGCUCACCAAGGCGACGAUCCUUAGCUGGUCUGAGAGGAUGAUC
rnacentral:rRNA from 1 species